GACGAACGCUGGCGGCGUGCUUAACACAUGCAAGUCGAACGGAAGGGCCCUGCUUUUGUGGGGUGCUCGAGUGGCGAACGGGUGAGUAACACGUGAGUAACCUGCCCUUGACUUUGGGAUAACUUCAGGAAACUGGGGCUAAUACCGGAUAGGAGCUCCUGCUGCAUGGUGGGGGUUGGAAAGUUUCGGCGGUUGGGGAUGGACUCGCGGCUUAUCAGCUUGUUGGUGGGGUAGUGGCUUACCAAGGCUUUGACGGGUAGCCGGCCUGAGAGGGUGACCGGUCACAUUGGGACUGAGAUACGGCCCAGACUCCUACGGGAGGCAGCAGUGGGGAAUAUUGCACAAUGGGCGGAAGCCUGAUGCAGCAACGCCGCGUGCGGGAUGACGGCCUUCGGGUUGUAAACCGCUUUCGCCUGUGACGAAGCGUGAGUGACGGUAAUGGGUAAAGAAGCACCGGCUAACUACGUG
rnacentral:rRNA from 1 species